CAGAGACUGAGCUGGAGCCACCACCACUUGUCUCUGACCUCAAACCUUUCACAUUGCUUGACAGUAAUCAUUUUCACCUCAAAGAUGGUGUAGUGGUGUCGACCAACCUUCUCGACAGGUUGCACAAAUUAAAAGAACCGCAGAAGGUCAUCCGAGAGGCCGCACAAGCAAUCUGGGGAAACGAAGAUCUCUUGGGAAGAACCGUCGGCGGAAGGCUUCGCCGAAAGACAGAAAGAACGUCGACAAGGUGGCACGCAGAGGCCUUACACCACAGAAAGUUGACGCCAUUGCUGCAACUGUGAGGUACUGGGCAGACCUCCACAAAGACCUGAUAGCUGAGAAAGAAAUGGACAUACGUGGGACCUUGAACGAGAUGUCUACAAUAUUGUCAAUGAAGAUUCAGAAUGUCAGGAAGACAGCCAAGCGUAAACUUCAAGUGUGACUAUGGCGUUUGAAACGUGUUCCAGGGAACUAAAAACGUCACCGUGCAGUGUCUGCUGAGCAAAUCAAAUAGCGCUCACGUGUGUGUGAAAUUCUUGGUUAACUCUUCUUAAGACCCCUAAUUGCGUUUUUCAGUUUAUUGUUUUUACAUACAUUGUUUUGAUGGUGGUCCGUCCAAAUUGCAGUUGAUGCCCAGAGGUUCCGAGGCAAUCUCUCUUAAAAUUAUCUGGCAACUUCAAGCUUUUUUCAUGCACUGACAGGAAUAACUUUGUUGAUAAAACUUUCACUAGUGAAAUUGCAGGCUAUUGCUCUUCAUGCAGCAGUGUGAGUUUGAGGAGUUAACACAGACAGUUAAAUAAAUAUGUUGUGUUCUGCACUGAAGUAAGCACUGUAUGCACUGAAUGCUGUGUGAUAAUGUACUGAACAAAAUACUGCAAACGCUGUUAUAACGUUCUCUGCUUUCCCACGUGCGGUGUCAUUUCUUCCUCCAUGUACACACUAUGCAGCAAGUAAUGUUUUUUUUCCCCACCUACAAGUAGUUUGGUUUAUGCAACGAUUCCGACCUCAGAAACCAG